GGGCGGUUAGCUCAGCUGGCAGAGCGCCACGUUUACACCGUGGAUGUCGGCGGUUCGAUCCCGUCACCGCCCACCA
rnacentral:tRNA from 1 species